rnacentral:rRNA from 1 species
CGGGUGAGUAACACGUGGGUAACCUGCCUCAGACUGGGGGAUAGCCUUCCGAAAGGAAGAUUAAUACCGCAUAACAUAGUUUAACCGCAUGGUUAGAUUAUCAAAGGAGUAAUCCGGUUUGAGAUGGACCCGCGGCGCAUUAGCUAGUUGGUGAGGUAACGGCUCACCAAGGCGACGAUGCGUAGCCGACCUGAGAGGGUGAUCGGCCACAUUGGAACUGAGAUACGGUCCAA